rnacentral:rRNA from 1 species
CCUACGGGAGGCAGCAGUGGGGAAUAUUGCACAAUGGGGGAAACCCUGAUGCAGCGACGCCGCGUGAGUGAAGAAGUAUUUCGGUACGUAAAGCUCUAUCAGCAGGGAAGAAAAAAAGUCCUUUGGACUUAGGACGGUACCUGACCAAGAAGCCCCGGCUAACUACGUUCCAGCAGCCGCGGUAAUACGUAGGGGGCAAGCGUUAUCCGGAUUUACUGGGUGUAAAGGGGGCGUAGACGGCAGCGCAAGUCUGGAGUGAAAGGCCGGGGCCCAACCCCGGAACUGCUUUGGAAACUGGGUAGCUGGAGUGCAGGAGAGGUAGGCGGAAUUCCUGGUGUAGCGGUGAAAUGCGUAGAUAUUAGGAGGAACACCAGUGGCGAAGGCGGCUUACUGGACUGUAACUGACGUUGAGGCUCGAAAGCGUGGGGAGCAAACAGGAUUAGAUACCCUAGUAGUC